GGAGAGGUGGCAGAGUGGUCGAAUGCAACAGAUUGCUAAUCUGUGACCCUCCGGGGUCUCGCUGGUUCGAAUCCAGUCCUCUCCG
rnacentral:tRNA from 1 species